UACGAGAGGCCCAAACGUUAUUCGGAAUUACUGGGCUUAAAGAGUUCGUAGGCGGCGCAGAAAGUAGGGUGUGAAAGCCCUCGGCUUAACCGAGGAAUUGCGCUCUAAACUACUGUGCUUGAGGAACCUAGAGGUGAGCAGAACUGAUGGUGGAGCGGUGAAAUGCGUUGAUAUCGGAAGGAACGCCGGUGGCGAAAGCGACGCACUGGACCUCUUCUGACGCUGAGGCGCGAAAGCCAGGGGAGCAAACGGG
rnacentral:rRNA from 1 species